CCAGACAGCCAGGAUGUUGGCUUAGAAGCAGCCAUCAUUUAAAGAAAGCGUAAUAGCUCACUGGUCGAGUCGGCCUGCGCGGAAGAUGUAACGGGGCUAAACCAUGCACCGAAGCUGCGGCAGCGACACUAUGUGUUGUUGGGUAGGGGAGCGUUCUGUAAGCCUGUGAAGGUGUGCUGUGAGGUAUGCUGGAGGUAUCAGAAGUGCGAAUGCUGACAUAAGUAACGAUAAAGCGGGUGAAAAGCCCGCUCGCCGGAAGACCAAGGGUUCCUGUCCAACGUUAAUCGGGGCAGGGUGAGUCGACCCCUAAGG
rnacentral:rRNA from 1 species